rnacentral:rRNA from 1 species
GGAAUAUUGGUCAAUGGGCGAGAGCCUGAACCAGCCAUGCCGCGUGUAGGAUGACGGCCUUCUGGGUUGUAAACUACUUUUCUACGGGAAGAAAAAGCUCAUGCGUGGGCAAUUGACGGUACCGUAGGAAUAAGCACCGGCUAACUCCGUGCCAGCAGCCGCGGUAAUACGGAGGGUGCAAGCGUUGUCCGGAUUUAUUGGGUUUAAAGGGUGCGUAGGCGGCUUCUUAAGUCAGUGGUGAAAGCCCGCAGCUUAACUGUGGAACUGCCAUUGAAACUGGGAAGCUUGAGUACGGUUGAAGUAGGCGGAAUUUAUGGUGUAGCGGUGAAAUGCAUAGAUACCAUAAAGAACACCGAUAGCGUAGGCAGCUUACUAAGCCGUAACUGACGCUGAGGCACGAAAGCAUGGGGAGCGAACAGGAUUAGAAACCCCUGUAGUCC